rnacentral:misc_RNA from 1 species
UCUCCGUAGGUGAACCUGCGGAGGGAUCAUUACUGAGUGAGGGCUUCGGUCCGACCUCCAACCCUUUGUGUGAACCAAACUUGUUGCUUCGGGGGCGACCCUGCCGCUUCGGCGGUGCGGCGCCCCCGGAGGCCAUUAAACACUGCAUCAUUGCGUCGGAGUUAAAGUAAAUUAAAACAAAAUUUCCACCAAGGAUUCCUUGGUUCCAGCAUCGAUGAAGAACGCAGC